UUUGGUGCUUUGCUCUUAGUUACAUUAUUGUGUUGUUUUAGUUGAUUUCUUUGCAUUGAGGAACAUCUCUGAGAAGUGGAGCAUUGACGGGCAAGUAUCCUUGAACAUCUUUCUAUUUUAUACCUUUACUUUUUAUACAUUAUGCCACAUUUUAUCUUUAUGCUUUCUGCAUUUAGGAGUCAACCAUGGGAAUCCUAUAUAGGAGACUACUAGAAUUUCAUGAUCAUUCCUUGUUACUCUUAGAGGUUCCCUUUUAUGGGUAGUUAUGCUUAGCUUUGCUCAACAUGGGUUGGUUGGUUAUAAUUAAUCCUAAUUAAUGGAACUAUGCAACAUAUGGGUUUUGGUAAUCCUUUUAGAAGCAUGGAACUCUAGGCGGCUCAGAUAAGUGGGAAAGAUGUUUGGUUUUUGAGGAAUGUUAUGUUUGUUUUAUUUGAGCUGAGCUUAAGGAUUGAUCUAUGGAGCGACCACCCAGGAUGAACAGUACAACCACAAGAAUCGGAUGGGAAAUGGUCUUGGCAAAUUAAGUAGGGUAAAUCGGGAAAUCCAUCGGCCUACGUUAGGCUGUUGGUGCAGUGAGGGUGGCUUAGUUCCCCAAAAGUUUGAUGGCACUAUGAUGGGUACAUGAACCUAGAGUGGGUUGACGCGUCGCUGAUGAACCUAUGUAAAGGUCUCACUAGUGAAUGGUGACAUGACUUGCGGGUAGAGAUGUACAACCUUUGUAGAGUGUGAAACUAUUAUAACAGCUACGGUCAUGAUCAAAAGUGGUUUGGACCCUCACAUGGUUAGUUUGGUUGGGUGAAUCACAGUGGUGGUAUUCUGUGGUUUGCUUUAGUUGUAAGUGGUUUAACCUUAAGGUGGUUGUGGUUUGGGAAGCUUUAUAAUAUUAAUAUCUCUAGGUGCUUAAUUAAAAUAUGACCAACUAAAAUAUUAGCUUGUAGUUCACCAAAUAAAGCCUCCAAAUAUAAUUUCAUAUAAUUUCAUCCACUUACCGAAUACACGCCUCCGAGUAUACUCACCGUUUCACCUCAACCCAUGUUGUUCUUCC
rnacentral:lncRNA from 1 species